rnacentral:rRNA from 1 species
GAUAAACGCUGGCGGUAUGCUUAACACAUGCAAGUCGAACGGUCACUUCGGUGAUAGUGGCGGACGGGUGAGUAACGCGUGAGAAUCUGUCUUCAGGUCGGGGACAACAGUUAGAAAUGACUGCUAAUACCGGAUGUGCCUUUGGGUGAAAGAUUUAUUGCCUGAAAAAGAGCUCGCGUCAGAUUAGCUAGUAGGUGGUGUAAGAGACUACCUAGGCUCCGAUCUGUAGCUGGUCUGAGAGGACGAUCAGCCACACUGGAACUGAGACACGGUCCAGACUCCUACGGGAGGCAGCAGUGGGGAAUUUUCCGCAAUGGGCGAAAGCCUGACGGAGCAAUACCGCGUGAGGGACGAAGGCUUUUGGGUCGUAAACCUCUUUUCUCAAGGAAGAUGAUGACGGUACUUGAGGAAUAAGCAUCGGCUAACUCUGUG